CGUCAGUCUACAGAGGGUCAGGGGACUGAGCUGCUCCAGGCCCAGCAAGGAGAGUCCCAGUACCUGCCUUGGGGUCUGCAGAAACACAGCAUUUCCCAGGCCUGAGACUCAGCACGGAGCAUCCAAGGCACUCCUAGUCUGUUGAGGCACAGCCUCCACUGUGAGUCCUCCCCCUAUUUCCAUACUCACAUGAUUGAGUGUCUCUCUCAACUUGUCUGCUGGGGACCCUCUGGGGAUGGAUCCUGUGCUUGACUUUCAUGCUGUUCGUCUGAAGCUCUGAAACACUUCCUACCACUUCACAUCUCUUCUUUGGGGGGCAGGCCCUGCACCAACCAGCCAGAAGCUUUUUUUUAAAACCACAUGUUGUCAUGACAAUUGGCCACUUGAUUUCAAACUGACUUCACAGCACAAACGUGACUAUUUCCUGAGGAACAAGAAUACUGAUUUGUCCCCUGAACUGAAAAGGGAUGCCAUGUGUGUGGUCUCUA
rnacentral:lncRNA from 1 species